GGUCCUAGCCCCUUGGGGCAGCUCUGGGCCCUGUUAAUACAAAUUCUACCACAGACUCCAGGGCUGCAGAACGACGUCCAUGUUUUUCUCCAGCUCAUCCCAUCCUCCCAUGACACAGGGAAGAGAAAUGGCUGCAGUGGAGCCAGCUCAGGGGCCGGUGACCUUCGAGGAGAUGGCUGUGUAUUUCACCAGGGAAGAGUGGGCUCUGCUG